UGCAAGUCGAGCGGUAGCACAGAGAGCUUGCUCUCGGGUGACGAGCGGCGGACGGGUGAGUAAUGUCUGGGAAACUGCCUGAUGGAGGGGGAUAACUACUGGAAACGGUAGCUAAUACCGCAUAACGUCGCAAGACCAAAGUGGGGGACCUUCGGGCCUCAUGCCAUCAGAUGUGCCCAGAUGGGAUUAGCUAGUAGGUGGGGUAAUGGCUCACCUAGGCGACGAUCCCUAGCUGGUCUGAGAGGAUGACCAGCCACACUGGAACUGAGACACGGUCCAGACUCCUACGGGAGGCAGCAGUGGGGAAUAUUGCACAAUGGGCGCAAGCCUGAUGCAGCCAUGCCGCGUGUAUGAAGAAGGCCUUCGGGUUGUAAAGUACUUUCAGCGAGGAGGAAGGCGUUAAGGUUAAUAACCUUGGCGAUUGACGUUACUCGCAGAAGAAGCACCGGCUAACUCCGUGCCAGCAGCCGCGGUAAUACGGAGGGUGCAAGCGUUAAUCGGAAUUACUGGGCGUAAAGCGCACGCAGGCGGUUUGUUAAGUCAGAUGUGAAAUCCCCGGGCUCAACCUGGGAACUGCAUUUGAAACUGGCAAGCUUGAGUCUUGUAGAGGGGGGUAGAAUUCCAGGUGUAGCGGUGAAAUGCGUAGAGAUCUGGAGGAAUACCGGUGGCGAAGGCGGCCCCCUGGACAAAGACUGACGCUCAGGUGCGAAAGCGUGGGGAGCAAACAGGAUUAUAUACCCUGGUAGUCCACUCUGUAAACGAUGUCGACUUGGAGGUUGUUCCCUUGGAGGAGUGGCUUCCGGAGCUAACGCGUUAAGUCGA
rnacentral:rRNA from 2 species